UUAGCUGAGAGGGUGGUGCAUGGCCGUCGUCAGUUCGUACUGUGAAGCAUCCUGUUAAGUCAGGCAACGAGCGAGACCCACGCCCACAGUUGCCAGCGUACUCUCUGGAGUGACGGGUACACUGGUGGGACCGCCGCUGACUAAGCGGAGGAAGGAAUGGGCAACGGUAGGUCAGUAUCGCCCCGAAUAGUCCCGGGCUACACGCGAGCUACAAUGGUUGGUACAAGUGGGUAUCCUAACCCGAAGGGACGGGAAUCUCCUAAAACCAAUCUUAGUUCGGAUUGAGGGCUGCAACUCGCCCUCAUGAAGCUGGAAUCCGUAGUAAUCGCGUUUCAACAGAACGCGGUGAAUACGUCCCUGCUCCUU
rnacentral:rRNA from 1 species